GAAACAACUAAUCGAUUUAAUCGAUUACAAUCGAUUAUUAAAAUAGUUAACAACUUUUUUAGUCAUCGAUUAGUUGUUUAAUAAUCAUAUUUUACCGCAUAAAGUCUAUUUUUUACCACAAUCUGACAUCGGUUACAAUCUGUUAAAUUUGCCGCCAGUGUGUGGCAGUAAUGAGCCACUGAUCUACCAGUGGAGCCGUAGAAGAAGAAAUGAGCCAAUAAGUGGCCUCGGUUUUCAUGACGUAUCACGUUACUGACGCUCAUCUUGCUGUGAGAGAUGGCGGAACGAGAAGAAAUACGGAAGAAAAAUAGAAGCGACAAAACAAGAGAAACCCCGGACAAAAACCUCACGAGUAUGGGAGCACUUCACUAGAUGCCUUGAAAAGACCGGUGACCUGCAAAAUAUGCAAAAACCAUGGCACGACGGAAGCACGACGUCCCUAAGUGAACAUUUGAGACGAAAACAUGUGGGGGCUGAUGCAGCAGAGGAAAGUCCGAAAAAAACAAGCAAAGAUGGACAACUACAUGGGGAACAAGACACUCACCCCCCAGCAAUGCAUACCACUUACAAACUCUAUUCUAGAUUCUACAUUAUUUUUUUAUGGAAUUUACCUCUUAUAUUUUGAUGCCAAAAAAUUAUUCUGGACUGAUAUUUUGCACUGUUUAGCUCAUUUUACACCACUGACUGUGUUCAUGUGCAAUAAAAUAGAUUGCAGUCAACU